rnacentral:lncRNA from 1 species
GAGGAGUCCCUGCACUCACCCUCUGACACUGAGCGACCAGUUUAUCUGUGACACAGACCUGCUGGGUGAAUAGCAGCCCUUCUUCCCGGUGGAGGAGACCCUGUUGGGUAAUCGCCGUAUGCAAAGCACCUUGCAGGGUGGUGUGGGGGGAUACCUUACUGCCAAGCGAGCACCCCACCACUGGCAGCCCCUGCUGGUGAGAAAGCAGGCCGCCUACACCCACAAAGCCUCCCAUUAUGGCCUGGAACCAGACAGCUACAAAGGAACCAUUCUGCUCUGGCUUGGCUCCCGGGGCGCAGACCUUGAGCAAGAGAAGGGGCUUUGUACUGUCAGCAGGGGGAACUUCCUGCAGGACAGCAGGGCCUGCAGCACAGCCAGCCCUUUCACAACAGCCGGGAGGAACGAUGACUCACUGAGACGCCCAGGACCACACCGGAGCAGGCAUGGGCCUGUGACCAGCGUGGACAAAGGCAGCCAGCCCUGUCAACGCGAUGACACCCCAGACUUGGACAUUUGCUCUGUGACUGAAGCCACCUUCUUGAUGGUUGCACUGCUACCAGUGUUAGCCACGGAAAAUUCUCAAAUGGCUCUCCCACUCGUCUAACGAGGAGGGAGAACAGGGGAUGCGCGGCUGUUUCAUUAGGACCACCGAAGAAUGUUUAUGACCAGCUCCAUCACGUUUAACUAGCUCCUCUCGUAACAUAAAGAAAAUCUAUGUCAGAGGACUGUCAGGCUUUGAUGGAUGUCCUCAUCCAUGGCGGGUUAUUGUCGCGCUCUUCGUGGGGCCCCGGCUUAUUAGAUCCACACUCCAUCUGCCUCCGUGCCCAGGGGCUUGGGCAGCGCCACCCCUGCCCAGUGCUGGUCUCCACAGUCACACCGUUCUGCAGAAAGAAAGCACUGGCGAUUAUUCUGGGAGGUUUUCUCUACUUCUCUGACUUGGAAAAUCCUGAGCAGGUGCUGCUCUGAAGCUCAAAAAGUAAAAUAAAAUCAAGAAAUUAAUUGGUUU